GAACCGUGGGCUCAUUUUACCUAUUCAUUUCUUUUAUAAAAUAAACCCCUUCAUCCCCAACUGAGCUGAUCCCUUUCUAUCACCAACACCAGGAAGCUCCAUUUUCACUCCUCCAAACCAUAAAUUUCUCAUAAAAUAUUCUUCCAUUUUCCUCCCUGCGGGCUGGAAUUGAUACACUAGCAACCGUGGGCUAGGAUUUGGAGUUCGUUGAGAGUUUUCUACUGCGGGAUUGGGGCUUGCUCGAAAAUUAGAUCGAUGUCGGACGAGAGCUUAGAAUUGGAUUCCAUCAUCUAAAUUUCGGUGAAUUGAUUUGAGUUCCUCUUUUCCCCGUGGUCUUGAAGCUGGUUAUAGCUUGUUUAGAGAGCCCAGUUUACCUGUACCUACUGCAUUAGACCGAGGUAAAGGGAUUGCUGGAUAGAUAGUUCUCCUACCCAUGAACCAGUUUAGAGAAAUACCGAGUUAUUGCUAGUUUUUGGAAAGACAUUGUACAUAUUGUUGUAUUUACUUUCCUUUUGGGUUAUGAAUUGUAUCAUUUUUUUUUUUGGGUUGUGUAUGUACAUUUUGUUUCGGUUAUAUAAAUGAACAGUUAAAAUUUAACGGUA